rnacentral:rRNA from 1 species
GAUGAACGCUAGCUACAGGCUUAACACAUGCAAGUCGAGGGGCAGCAUGAACUUAGCUUGCUAAGUUUGAUGGCGACCGGCGCACGGGUGAGUAACACGUAUCCAACCUGCCGAUGACUCGGGGAUAGCCUUUCGAAAGAAAGAUUAAUACCCGAUGGCAUAGUUCUUCCGCAUGGUAGAACUAUUAAAGAAUUUCGGUCAUCGAUGGGGAUGCGUCCCAUUAGCUUGUUGGCGGGGUAACGGCCCACCAAGGCGACGAUGGGUAGGGGUUCUGAGAGGAAGGUCCCCCACAUUGGAACUGAGACACGGUCCAAACUCCUACGGGAGGCAGCAGUGAGGAAUAUUGGUCAAUGGACGAGAGUCUGAACCAGCCAAGUAGCGUGAAGGAUGACUGCCCUAUGGGUUGUAAACUUCUUUUAUACGGGAAUAAAGUGAGGCACGUGUGCCUUUUUGUAUGUACCGUAUGAAUAAGGAUCGGCUAACUCCGUG